rnacentral:rRNA from 1 species
GACGUAGGGUGCGAGCGUUGUCCGGAAUUAUUGGGCGUAAAGAGCUCGUAGGCGGUGUGUCGCGUCGGCCGUGAAAACCUGCAGCUUAACUGUGGGCUUGCGGUCGAUACGGGCAUCACUGGAGUUCGGCAGGGGGAGACUGGAAUUCCUGGUGUAGCGGUGAAAUGCGCAGAUAUCAGGAAGAACACCCCGUGGCUAAGGCGGCUCUCUAGUACGGUACUGACGCUGAGACGCGAAAGCGUGGGGAGCGAACAGG